GUUUGGAUGGGAAUGAGUUGCAGCUGCUGUGGCCUGGAUGUGAACCAAGAUAUCACAGCGGUGACUGCCUGGAAGAGUGCAAAGAAUGAGGACUCUGAUUCCUCUUAGCAACAACAAAGGCCCAGUACCCUAGAGUAAGACAGAUGAUCCAGACAGCAUAGACAGCAUCCAGACAGCCACAUGGCUACACCAGGUGUCAUUCUGCCAGAGGUAACGGGCCAGAUCCUUAGCCAUUAAUUGUUACUCCACUUCAGGAAGUGGGCCAGAUUCCUAGCUAGUGCCAACUGAAAACAGAAAGAAGUCCUGAGUGAGCUAGGAUAACAGAAGAUAUAGUCAAAUUAUGGGAAAUCAAGGCAACUCUGAUAUUGAUUCACUGCUUGGCAUAAAGAUUUUGCUGUUUUGAACCCAUUACAUAAUAGAUGAAAAUUAGGAGUAGAACUCGGAGGUCUUGGGAUUCCAGCUUUCCCCUGCUCUUGAACAAUUUUGUCACUGCUUCCUCUAACUGACCUAUCCCCUAAUAUACCAAUUUAUCUCAAAAGAAUGCUACAAAAGACCAAGCAAACGGUAGAGCAAAACCUAAGUUUAAUAUUUGACUGGUCCCUAGGUUGGACUUACCUCAUGGGAAGGUGUGUGGAUUUGAACAGACUGCCCCAUGGUGCUUAAAGGCAUCAGGAUCAGUAGGAGACAGAAUGAAUAUCCCAGGAGCUGGUCCAUGGCUGGCAUGAAAGGUUUGCCUCGUCCUUGCAGAAGGCUCCGUGGAUGAGAACGCCUCCCUGGCAUCUCUUGCGUUCUUACUUUUAAACCGUAGGUUUCUUUCUUUCUUUUUUUUAAAAGGACCUAUAAAUGUAGCAUUCAUCCUGAUACAAGACUUGAUUGUCCAUGCGUCCAAGACUGGAGAGUGGCCAGUUUUACUCACUACUCCAUAAGAUGAAAUGAAAACAAAAUAUUCUGAAGAGCCCUAUUCCUGUUUUCAGCACUUGAUGAGGGCUCUAGAAAAAAAAUAAACAGUCCCACAAAUAUGCUGCAUAAAUAGACGAUGGGUCCAAAUAGCCAAGGGGACAGAAGGAGGUCAUUGCAAAAUUACCAGCAUUGCUUCCUUCUUGUGCCUGCAAUGUCCUUUGGCAGAAGAAACCAAAAAUAUUGCAAAGACUACUUCCUGAUCAGAGGAACAGAUGUGUGGAAGAAAUGAAGAGAUGUGCAGGAAUCUUAAUGAAUCUACAAAACAGCUUUUAGUUCUGAUUUGAUCUUCCCAUUUUGUAAGAAACAAACUUCCUUAUUAGUGGUGAAACUAAAUUUUAUAUUUCUACUGCCACUCGUCAUGGGAUAAACAAGUACCUUGA